CUUCGUUUCUUUUUAUACUGUAGCGAACCUUUUUCCAUUGUCAUAUCCAAAGCAAAACGCAGAGCUUCUUUUGUUUUGAUUGUUUGUACAAAAACAAUAGAUGCGGAAUUCAAGGAGUGGGCUGCACAACAGCAGCACACUCAGACACAGAAGAAAUUAGUGAGCAUUUGUUUUUAACAGAGAGGGAGAGAGUUGAUCAGAUUCUCCAAAGGCAGAGCUUGUUCAGGCAGAGAGAAGGAGAAACAAUAGGACGAAAGUAAAGAC